AUCAUGAUAGCAACACAGAAGGGACUGGACCAGUAUAAUGUGCUACCUCUGAAGGCAGCUACCGACUGUAAGGAAGACUCUAAUUUGGUCCCAUCCAUCACCAACAAGUGAAUACUGGGCUGCAUCUGUGAAGAGGACAUUGGUACUGUCAUCUGGGUUUAGCUGCACAAAGGUGAGAGUCAGGGAUGCAGAUGCCCAAACUGUGGAACCUAUUAAAAGAUGGUGUCCCGCCAACUGGCC
rnacentral:lncRNA from 1 species